GUCUCGGUGGUCCAGUGGUAGGACAGCGCGGCGAUGCUUGCCCGAUGUUCACUAAAUGAGCACACGGGAGCGUAAAUGCUGCGCAGGCCCGGGUUCGAAUCCCGGUCGAGGCA